AGCAACAAAUGCCCUGCUUCCAGGAAAAGCCUCUAAGCAUCAGGUAACAUCAAAUCGUACCCCAAACCGACACAGGUGGUCAGGUAGAGAAUACCAAGGCGCUUGAGAGAACUCGGGUGAAGGAACUAGGCAAAAUGGUGCCGUAACUUCGGGAGAAGGCACGCUGACACGUAGGUGAAGUGAUUUACUCAUGGAGCUGAAGUCAGUCGAAGAUACCAGCUGGCUGCAACUGUUUAUUAAAAACACAGCACUGUGCAAACACGAAAGUGGACGUAUACGGUGUGACGCCUGCCCGGUGCCGGAAGGUUAAUUGAUGGGGUCAGCGCAAGCGAAGCUCCUGAUCGAAGCCCCGGUAAACGGCGGCCGUAACUAUAACGGUCCUAAGGUAGCGAAAUUCCUUGUCGGGUAAGUUCCGACCUGCACGAAUGGCGUAAUGAUGGCCAGGCUGUCUCCACCCGAGACUCAGUGAAAUUGAACUCGCUGUGAAGAUGCAGUGUACCCGCGGCAAGACGGAAAGACCCCGUGAACCUUUACUAUAGCUUGACACUGAACAUUGAGCCUUGAUGUGUAGGAUAGGUGGGAGGCUUUGAAGUGUGGACGCCAGUCUGCAUGGAGCCGACCUUGAAAUACCACCCUUUAAUGUUUGAUGUUCUAACGUGGACCCGUUACCCGGGUUGCGGACAGUGUCUGGUGGGUAGUUUGACUGGGGCGGUCUCCUCCUAAAGAGUAACGGAGGAGCACGAAGGUUGGCUAAUCCUGGUCGGACAUCAGGAGGUUAGUGCAAUGGCAUAAGCCAGCUUGACUGCGAGCGUGACGGCGCGAGCAGGUGCGAAAGCAGGUCAUAGUGAUCCGGUGGUUCUGAAUGGAAGGGCCAUCGCUCAACGGAUAAAAGGUACUCCGGGGAUAACAGGCUGAUACCGCCCAAGAGUUCAUAUCGACGGCGGUGUUUGGCACCUCGAUGUCGGCUCAUCACAUCCUGGGGCUGAAGUAGGUCCCAAGGGUAUGGCUGUUCGCCAUUUAAAGUGGUACGCGAGCUGGGUUUAGAACGUCGUGAGACAGUUCGGUCCCUAUCUGCCGUGGGCGCUGGAGAACUGAGGGGGGCUGCUCCUAGUACGAGAGGACCGGAGUGGACGCAUCACUGGUGUUCGGGUUGUCAUGCCAAUGGCACUGCCCGGUAGCUAAAUGCGGAAGAGAUAAGUGCUGAAAGCAUCUAAGCACGAAACUUGCCCCGAGAUGAGUUCUCCCUGAGACUUAAAGUCUCCUGAAGGAACGUUGAAGACGACGACGUUGAUAGGCCGGGUGUGUAAGCGCAGCGAUGCGUUGAGCUAACCGGUACUAAUGAACCGUGAGGCUU
rnacentral:rRNA from 1 species